rnacentral:pre_miRNA from 1 species
UUCAUAAAUGGUUCUCUUUGUAUUUUUCCACAGCUUUCUUGAACUGCAUAGAAAAGGGCUUCAAUUGCCGAAGGCUGCCAAUUUUGCGGUUCAAUAAAGCUGUGGGAAAUUACAGAGGGAGACUAAAUUGACCG